GUGCCAGCCGCCGCGGUAAUACGUAGGGACCAAGCGUUGUUCGGAUUUACUGGGCGUAAAGGGCGCGUAGGCGGCGUGACAAGUCACUUGUGAAAUCUCCGGGCUUAACUCGGAACUGCCAAGUGAUACUGUCGCGCUAGAGUGCGGAAGGGGCAAUCGGAAUUCUUGGUGUAGCGGUGAAAUGCGUAGAUAUCAAGAGGAACACCUGAGGUGAAGACGGGUUGCUGGGCCGACACUGACGCUGAGUGCGCGAAAGCCAGGGGAGCAAACGGGAUUAGAAACCCUCGUAGUCC
rnacentral:rRNA from 1 species